GUUUCGUCAGGAAACGUUUAAGGUUAGUUGAAAACCAAAAUCCACAUUGGAUGGUUGAAAUAUCAAUCCUAUGACAAUUUUCUUGAUGGUUUUACAACUACUUUUUAUUUUUCAGACUCAGAAAAUCCUCUAUAACUUGAGAAAAUCAGAACCACAUGUUCCACUUUGAUAAGCCCACAAUAAAAAAGGAAAAAGGAAACAGAUAGAUUCUGGAGGUCAAACUAGGAAUAUUAGUGACAUUUCAUCAAAGUUGAGAAUACUGAAGAUGAAUGACAUCCUUUCUGUCAAAUUUUGAAUAUUUAGCAGGGUUGGAUCUUUUAAAUAACAUCUAUCCAAACAAUAACAAACUAACCUAUAUGAAAAUGGAAAGUUAAGGAAUGGUGAUAAAACAGAUAAUGUUCUUAUUCUUUUCGGAAAUUCACAAUGAACUAAACUGGUAUCUUGAAUGAGAAAGCAUUCAAAGUAGAUAUUUUUCUGCUGUGCAAGAUCACCGAGUGACUUCAAGUUAUUCAUCCUGAAUGAUUUAAUACAUUUUAUAAUGUUUUGGCUUACGAGAGCGCUAUUAAAGUUAUGAGUCAACUAGGA
rnacentral:lncRNA from 1 species